GACGAACGCUGGCGGCGUGCCUAAUACAUGCAAGUAGAACGCUGAAGAGAGGAGCUUGCUCUUCUUGGAUGAGUUGCGAACGGGUGAGUAACGCGUAGGUAACCUGCCUUGUAGCGGGGGAUAACUAUUGGAAACGAUAGCUAAUACCGCAUAACAAUGGAUGACACAUGUCAUUUAUUUGAAAGGGGCAAUUGCUCCACUACAAGAUGGACCUGCGUUGUAUUAGCUAGUAGGUGAGGUAAUGGCUCACCUAGGCGACGAUACAUAGCCGACCUGAGAGGGUGAUCGGCCGCACUGGGACUGAGACACGGCCCAGACUCCUACGGGAGGCAGCAGUAGGGAAUCUUCGGCAAUUGGGGCAACCCUGACCGAGCAACGCCGCGUGAGUGAAGAAGGGUUUCGGAUCGUAAAGCUCGGUUGUAAGUCAAGAACGGGUGUGAGAGUGGAAAGUUCACACUGUGACGGUAGCUUACCAGAAAGGGACGGCUAACUACGUG
rnacentral:rRNA from 1 species